rnacentral:rRNA from 1 species
UGGGGAAUUUUGCACAAUGGGCGCAAGCCUGAUGCAGCGACGCCGUGUGAGGGAUGAAGGCCUUCGGGUUGUAAACCUUUUUCGCUCAUGGUCAAGCCGCAGCUUUGGGUUGUGGUGAGGGUAGUGGGUAAAGAAGCGCCGGCUAACUACGUGCCAGCAGCCGCGGUAAUACGUAGGGCGCGAGCGUUGUCCGGAAUUAUUGGGCGUAAAGGGCUUGUAGGCGGUUGGCCGCGUCUGCCGUGAAAUCCUCUGGCUUAACUGGGGGCGUGGGGUGGGUUCGUGUUGACUUGAAUGCAGCAGGGGAGACUGGAAUUCCUGGUGUAGCGGUGGAAUGCGUAGAUAUCAGGAAGAACACCGGUUGCGAAGGCUAGUCUCUGGGCCGUUACUUACGCUGAGGAGCUAAAGCGUGGGGAUCGAACAGG